rnacentral:snRNA from 2 species
GUGCUUGCUUCAGCAGCACAUAUACUAAAAUUGGAAUUGCGCAUACUAAAAGGGGAAUUGCGCAUGACCCCUGCGCAAGGAUGACAUGCAAAUUCAUGAAGCGUUCCAUAAAAAA